rnacentral:rRNA from 1 species
AGUGAACGCUGGCGGUAGGCCUAACACAUGCAAGUCGAACGGCAGCACAGUAAGGGCUUGCUCUUACGGGUGGCGAGUGGCGGACGGGUGAGGAAUACAUCGGAAUCUACUUUUUCGUGGGGGAUAACGUAGGGAAACUUACGCUAAUACCGCAUACGACCUACGGGUGAAAGCAGGGGAUCUUCGGACCUUGCGCGAUUGAAUGAGCCGAUGUCGGAUUAGCUAGUUGGCGGGGUAAAGGCCCACCAAGGCGACGAUCCGUAGCUGGUCUGAGAGGAUGAUCGGCCACACUGGAACUGAGACACGGUCCAGACUCCUACGGGAGGCAGCAGUGGGGAAUAUUGGACAAUGGGCGCAAGCCUGAUCCAGCCAUACCGCGUGGGUGAAGAAGGCCUUCGGGUUGUAAAGCCCUUUUGUUGGGAAAGAAAAGCAGCAGGUUAAUACCCCGCUGUUCCGACGGUACCCAAAGAAUAAGCCCCGGCUAACUUCGUG